CCUACGGGAGGCAGCAGUGAGGAAUAUUGGGCAAUGGACGAGAGUCUGAACCAGCCACGCAGCGUGAAGGAUGACGGCCCUAUGGGUUGUAAACUUCUUUUAUAUGGGAAUAAAAUGUUACACGUGUGGGAUUUUGUAUGUACCAUAUCAAUAUGGAUCGGCUAACUCCGUUCCAGUAGCCGCAGUAAUACGGAGGAUCCGAGCGUUAUACGGAUGUAUUGGGUGUAAAGGGAGCGUAGGUGGAUUGUUAAGUCAGUUGUGAAAGUCAGCGGCUCAACCGUAGGAUUGCAUUUGAAACUGGCAGUCUUGAGUACAGUAGAGGUAGGCGGAAUUCGUGGUGUAGCGGUGAAAUGCUUAGAUAUCACGAAGAACUCCGAUUGCGAAGGCAGUUCACUGGACUGCAACUGACACUGAGGCUCGAAAGUGUGGGUAUCAAACAGGAUUAGAUACCCGGGUAGUC
rnacentral:rRNA from 1 species